rnacentral:tRNA from 1 species
GCGAGGAUGGCGGAAUUGGUAGACGCACCAGCUUGAGGGGCUGGCGGCCGCAAGGCUGUGGGGGUUCGACUCCCCCUCCUCGCA